GACGAACCGUGCGAACGUUGUUCGGAAUCACUGGGCUUAAAGGGCGCGUAGGCGGGUUCGAAAGUCUGUGGUGAAAGCCUCCAGCUUAACUGGAGAAGUGCCAUGGAUACUGCGAACCUGGAGGAGGGUAGGGGCUACCGGAACAAAUGGUGGAGCGGUGAAAUGCGUAGAUAUCAUUUGGAACGCCAAUGGUGAAAACAGGUAGCUGGGAGUGUGCUGACGCUGAGACACGAAAGCCAGGGGAGCGAACGGG
rnacentral:rRNA from 1 species